GGUGGGGUCUGGGAAGGAUUGGAUGUAAUGACACCAAAAUAACAUGAUCAUAAACAAAGAAAAUAUAAGUAUAAAUAUAAAUAUUUGUUGGAAUCCCACAUCGGUGGGUCAAAGGAUCCUUGGUCUCCUUAUAUGGUCUUAGGUAAUCCUCCCCUCAUGAGCUAGUUUUUGAGGUUGAGUUAGGCCCAAGGUCCAUUUCUUUAUCACAGUAUCAGAGUCAGGCCCACCUAGUUCAUUGUUUCCGAUGUUGGCCCCCCGUCUUAUAUUGUUCACGCUCUAGAUGUCCAACCCUGGGCAUGCGGGGGUGUUGGAGUCCC
rnacentral:lncRNA from 1 species